CAAGACACGUACAUGACAGUGAGCUACACACAUGAAAACCUGACAUGCACACACACACACACACACAGACACACACACACACUCGUCGUCAGGGAGCUGGGCAAGGAGUGAGGAGGAGGAAGAGGAGGAGGAGCAGCAGCAGCAGCAGAGAGCGUGGCAGUGAGAGAGGGAAGACUUGCCCGUGUGUGAGUGCUGCGUUCGUUAACAAGAGAAUGAAGGAGGAGUGAGUGUGUCGGUUCUGGCAAGCUCCCCGAUCCACACUCCCUAGUUCACGUCUGACUGUGAGCCGCGGCGAACACGACGAGCGGGUGUCAGACGCGUGUGUACGUUUACUACUAAAGAUUACUAAUAUGGCGGACUUUCUUGACGGGAAGGACAGUGCAGUGAGGAAAAGUCUUGACGCGUUGGCCGUUUACACCAAAGAGGAAAAAAAAGAAAAAGAGAGAGACGUACUGCUAAUACGAUACGGCAACAAAGGAGCCUCGUCUAACGCCAAGCCUCUAAUGAGUAACUUUGAUGGACUUGAAACUUCGACUACUGCGGAACCUUAGAUACCGUGGAACCUCGACUAAAAUGGAACUUCGUCUGCUGUGGAACUUCUUCUACCGCGGAACUUUGGGUUUCUGCAGGUGGUGGUGGUGGCGGUGGUGGUGGUAAGACUGAGAGGCGUUGUGGUUGCGUCCCCAAGCGCAGCCGAAGUCGAUGAGAUUUUACAAGUUACAGAAGCUGCGGAGUGUGAUGUUGCAUUGGUUACUCCCGACAAAGAGUCACCCCCUUUCCUUGCAAGACCCAACAACACCUUCUCUCCUCCAGGAACCAAUAAGCUUCUCUCCUUGACACCAGGAGCAGUGACAGCAACGAGGGCAGAGCUUCAGGCUAGGGAUGUCAGGACGAAGCGCGCUAAGUGGCAUUACUAACACGCACAAGUGCGAGAGAAGAAACCUUAAGGAAAACCGCGAGCAAGACGGAUCAGUGUCUGCGUGUCGCUAAAAGAUUGAUGACCAGUUGUGUGUUUCCAUGUUUCGUAAUGGUUUGUGGGCGACGCAUCCUUGUUCUAGCUGCAGACAGGAAGGCAAAAGAAGAAGAGGAGGAGGAGGAGAGCUUGGAGAGUAGAAAAAAAACGCAAAAAGUAAAAAAGUAGUUAAAAAAGAUGAAAAAACAAUAUGGCAGAAGAGAAAGUACGAGAAAAAAAAAAAAACAGUGAGACAGAAAAAUAUCAUGAAGAAAAAAUAGCAAAAAAGUAGAACAUAAAAGAAAGGAAGUGUUCACGUGUUGAUAUUCUUAAAAAGAUACAUAUAUCGAUUUUAACAUGAGAAGAAUAAGAAAAUACGAAAAAGAGACAAGAAAAAAAAAAAAAAAAGGCAGGUAGAAGAGAAAAGCACUCCACAUCCCGGUACAAGGUUCUAUCGAGUCCUACUGAGCAGCUAACAAUAUGCACUCCCGUCAACUCAAACUAUUUUCUAUUUAUUAUCGACUCGUACAUGUGUAGUUCGUAUAAUAGAAGCUCGCGUCACUUGGCUCCGGUUGUUGCUCGCACCAUCCUUUCCGCCACUCGUCCUCUCCCGUGGCUGCAGGUGCGUUAAGGGAGCGUUUGCGUCUUUAAACCACCCGACUUAAAAUUUUUGAAAAUGUAGUAAAAAAAAAAAAAAAUUCGGGGUAACUCUUAAAAGAAGUAUAAAUUAAGUUACGCCAAGAAGCCAGCGGGAGGAGAACGGCUGCACUUAACUCCCUGGUGGACGCUGCACCAAAGUUUUCAUUCCUCAGCCAUGGGAACACGUGUCGCGAUGACGAGAGUGACGCCAGCCAACACCCCGGCCCGCCACGAGUGUUGCUGCGCCCUUAUUCAACAACGCUCUCUCUCUCUCUCUCUCUCUCUCUCUCUCUCUCUCUCUCUCUCUUUCAUGAGUAAUUUCAAAGGUACCAGAUGAUUAAUAGCGUUCUCAAGACUGUUACUUCAAUUGGUAAUGUAGAAAAUAAUGUAGAAGUUACUUUAAUUUGUCACUAGAACCAUAAAAGCAGUCUUAAAAACC